rnacentral:misc_RNA from 1 species
UACGGAGGGUGCGAGCGGUAAUCGGAAUUAAUGGGCGUAAAGCGCGCGUAGGCGGCUAAGUAAUCCGGUUGUGAAAGCCCCCGGCUCAACCCGGGAAUGGCAUCCGGGACUGUUUAGCUAGAGUGCAGAAGAGGAAGGUAGAAUUCCCGGUGUAGCGGUGAAAUGCGUAGAGAUCGGGAGGAAUACCGGUGGCGAAGGCGGCCUUCUGGUCUGACACUGACGCUGAGGUGCGAAAGCGUGGGUAGCAAACAGG